rnacentral:rRNA from 1 species
GACGAACCGUGCGAACGUUGUUCGGAAUCACUGGGCUUAAAGGGCGCGUAGGCGGCUCGCGAGGUCGGGGGUGAAAUCCCGCGGCUCAACCGCGGAAGGGCCUCCGAUACCGGCGGGCUGGAGGGAGGUAGGGGUGCGCGGAACUUCUGGUGGAGCGGUGAAAUGCGUUGAUAUUGUGAGGAACGCCGGAGGCGAAAGCGACGCACUGGAUCUCUUCUGACGCUGAGGCGCGAAAGCUAGGGGAGCAAACGGG